rnacentral:rRNA from 1 species
UACGUAGGGUGCGAGCGUUAAUCGGAAUUACUGGGCGUAAAGUGUGCGCAGGUGGCCGCGCAUGUCGGGUGUGAAAUCCCCGGGCUUAACUUGGGAAUUGCGCUCGAAACUACGUGGCUCGAGUGUGGCAGAGGAAGGUGGAAUUCCACGUGUAGCGGUGAAAUGCGUAGAGAUGUGGAGGAACACCGAUGGCGAAGGCAGCCUUCUGGGCCAACACUGACGCUCAUGCACGAAAGCGUGGGGAGCAAACAGG